CUUGUGAUAGGGAGACAAGAGUCCUAGGAAACGGAAGGAGAGCACAUUUCACUCUGUCCAGCAGAGGGCAGCAGCCACCCACAAAUCAACAGCUGGACAAAGCCAGGGCUGUGCGGGAGCUAUGCACAGGUUCUGCCUCCAGAAGCCUUCAGUGCCAGCCUCUGAGCCAGAGGGUUCCAAGCAGAAGAGGUCCCACCCCUGGAGAAGAACCUCAGAGAGGUCCUCCAAGCCCCUCUCAGCUCUUACUUACGGCAUCCCAGAUGCCCUAUUCCUCUUCUGCAGACAGAAGGUGGGUCAGCCACUAAAUGGUGCUCGGACCUUGCAGCUUGGUGGGAAGGAGGAAGCUUAUUCAAGCAAGGAAGAUGACACAGGCAAAAACCGACGCAUAAGCCAAAAGCCCCUCCAAAGUGAGGUGUUGUUCCAGGCUGACAAGUCUCCAGCAGGGUGGACUUCAGACUCCCUGUUAGGAACUGAAUUGUGUCCCCCAAAAAGAGAAAGUGACCUCAGAGUAUGACCUAAUUCAGGAAAGGUCAUUGCAGAUGCAUUUAAUUAAAUGAAGAUGAGCUCAUGCUGGAGUAGGGUGGACUCUGAACCCAGUAGGACAAGCGUCCUUGUUAAGAAGAGGGAAAUCUGAACACACACAGAGCAGAGACUGCGGUGUGAAGAUGGAGGCAGAGAUUAGAGAGAUGCUGCUACAUGCCACAAAUGCCUGGGGCUCCCAGAAACUACACGGAGCCUCCCCCAGCGGCUUCAGCAGGAGCAUGGCUCAGCCAACACUUUGAUCUUGGCCUUCCAGCCUCCAGAACGGUGAGUCGUUUUCCUAAAAUUCCCUUUUCCACUUGUGUGUGGUGCAAGAUGAGGCACAUUUUCCAUGGAUGGUGAACAGAGGGAGGAGCCUCUUGAUCACAACCAGGUCACCCCACUUCUAAGCCACUGUGCCUCCAGCCCCACAAGACUAAGGAGAGAGAGCGCAGAGUGGUGGAGAGUGAGCUGUGCUGGGACCGUUGUUUCUGUAACCUCAUUUUCUGUGUCCAGCUGACACACCUUCAAAGCGGCGUCAGGUCCUAAACUGUAGCUUGCGACGUGCCUGUUUCCAGAAACAAAGGUGAAAGUGCUUUUAGACAGUGUUCCCAUGCAAGAGUCCCUUCCCAGCUGUUCUCUGGAAAUGCAUGUUUCUCUGAACUCUGAGUCCCAAGAAAAAUCAUUUGAGACAUCAAGAAAAUGGGGGAAGUGCUAAAAUUGUGUGGGAAUUCAAGCUUAACAAUAAACAUCAAGACAUUUUUGGUAAAAAUGAAUCCACUGACAUCAGGGAGGAGCAAGAGAACAGCACUCUGACACUGGGUCAGAGGCUAAGACCGACAUUUCUGGGAACCACUCCCAGAAGGGCACAGAUGAGACGCUUUCAGCCUCUCAUCAGCCAGCCUGGCCUGUUGCUGCUGCACAUUAUGAGUGUGUUCCUGGCAUGACUGCUUCUAACAGUGAGUUUUCUGGCAAAUCAAAUAAAUACUAAUAAGUCUGUAUGCACAUUAUACUUUAUACAAAUCCUAUGAGUGAUGUUCCAGAAAUAACAAGUUUUGAAGGCAAAAUAAGUCCUUAAAUUGGCAACUUUGACACAUAAUUCCAUGUAGUAGUUAAUCUUGCUAGAAUAUCCCAAUGUUGUUAUUCUAAUACAAUCUGAUAAUGUUCACUGGCAUUUUCCACUGUUGGCAUCUUUACUAUAGCCUACAGUUGUUUGUUUCUUUAUUUGAGACGGAGUCUCACUCUGUUGCCUAGGCUAGAGUGCAGUGGUAUGCCCUUGGCUCACUGCAAGCUCCCCCUCCCAGGUUCAUGCAGUUCUCCUGCCUCAGCCUCCCUAGAAGCUGGGAUUACAGGCACGUGCCACCACGCCCAGCUAAUUUUUUUUAUUUUUGGUAAAGACAUGGUUUCAUCAUGUUGGCCAGGCUGGUCUUGAACUCCUCACCUCAGGUGAUCAGCCUGCCUCGGCCUCCCACACACAGCGCUGGGAUUACAGGUGUGAGCCACGAUUCCCGGCUGCCUAUAGUUCUUUGUAAAGCAGACAAAAUAGUUUCAUUUUUUUUAAAGAAAUGAACAUAUAUGAGGCAACCUGUACCUAAUUUAGGAGUUCAGAAAUUCCCUGGACUGCCUAUACACUUUGGUUUCUCAUUCCUAAUUCCCAAAGAUUAAAAUCUGUCAGGAAUUUGGAAACACUGAAUCACAGGCCAAAAUAGGACCAUGUCUCCAUUCAUUCAUUCAUUCAACAAUUAUUUAUUGAGCGCAUGCUAUUUUUCAGGCACUGUGCCACAUUUUGAGAAUAGAGUAGUGAAUAAGACAGAGUCAUCACUUUAGGGAGUUUAUAUUUUAGAGGAGAGAAAGACAAAUAAAAGUGUUUAGGCCGGGCAUGGUGGCUCACACCUGUAAUCCAAGAACUUUGGGAGGUCAAGGCAGGUGGAUCACCUGAGCUCAGGAGUUCAAGACCAGCCUGGGCAACAAUCCCAUCUCUACCAAAAAUAUAAAAAAUUAACUGGGUUUGGUGGCACAUACCUGUGGUCUCAGCAACUUGGGAGGCUGAUGUGGAAGGAUCUCUCGAGCCUGGGAGGCAGAGGUUGCAGUGAGCCGAGGUUGUGACACUGGACUUCAACCCGAGUGACAGAGCCCAUCUCAAAAACAACCCUGGGCUGGGCAUGGUGGCUCACGCCUGUAAUCCCAGCACUUUGGGAGGCCGAGGUGGGCAGAUCAUGAGGUCAGGAGAUUGAGACCAUCCUGGCUAACAUGGUGAAACCCCAUCUCUACUAAAAAUACAAAAAAUUAGCUGGGCAUGGUGGCGGGCGCCUAUAGUCCCAGCUACGCGGGAGGCUGAGGCUGGAGAAUUGCUUGAACCCAGGAGGCAGAAGUUGCAGUGAGCCAAGAUCGCACCACUGCACUCCAGCCUGGGCAAUAGAGUGAGACUCCAUAUCAAAAAAAAAAAAAAAAAAAAAAACUCAGAGCUGUUUAAUACAAUGUACUGUCAAGUGGUGAUGAGCACUAUGGAAAUGUGAAGCAAUGUUUGAGUGCAGCGAGUGAAGCAGUGCUGUUUUGUAUGUGAUUGUCAUGAGGACCCCUCAGAAGAGCAGAGAGCUGAAUGCAGUGAGCAUAGAACCUUACUGAGGCCUGGGCAAGGCUCUUCCAGACAGCAAAAUGCCCUGAGGCAGGACUGUGUUUGGCGUGUCCUGGAAACGGGAGAGAAGCCAAGGCCUCUGGAAUGUGGUGAAGGAGAGGGAAAAGUAGGAAAUAAGGCUGGAGCCAGAACAUAUAGGGGCCAGAACAUAUAGGGCUGUGUAGGUCACGUUGAGUUCUUUGGAUUUUCAUGUAAGUGUGGAUGGGAAGCAGUUGGAUGGUUUUGAGCAGGGGUGGUGUGACCUGACCUGCAUUUUAGAAUCAUCCCACUGGCUGAGGUGUGGAGGAAAAAAGCAGGGGGCAGAAGUAGAGGUGAGGGGCAGCCAGUUAGGAGGCUACAGGAGUAGCCCAAACCAGACAGGAGGGUGGCUUGGCCCUCAGAGAUCUUGGUGGGGCAGAUUAAAGAGUGAUCAAGUUAGAGCUAACAGGACUUUUUUUUUUUGUUUUUUUAGACUGGGUCUCGCUUGUUGCCCAGGCUGUAGUGCAGUGGUGCAAUCAUGGCUCACUGCAGCCUUGACCUCCUGGAUCAAGGUAUCCUCCCACCUCUCAGCCUCCCAAGCAGCUGGGACUACAGGUGCAUGCCACCACACCCAACUAAUUUUUGUAUUUAUGGAGAUAUGGGUCUCACCAUGUUACCCAGGCUGGUCUUGAACUUCUGGGCUCAAGCCAUCUGCCUACCCUGGCCUUCCAAAGCAUUGGAAUUACAGGCCUGAGCCACUGUGCCAGGCCAGAGCCAACAGGACUUACUGAGAAAUUAUCUGAGAGAGAGGGGUCAAGGAAGACUCCCCCUGUUCAACCAAGCAACGAGGUGAAUGGUGCUGCUGCUUCCUGAGAUGGGGAAGACUGUAGAGGAAACAAACCAGGAAUGACAAAUCAGUAAUUUAGCUUUGAAUACAUUAGGCUUGAGAUGUCUAGUCUAUACCCAAACAGACCACACUGUGGCAUCUGGGCAGCAGGAUCUGCAGAAUCCAGCAGGAUGGAUGCUGAUGCCAAGCUGAGUAGACAGUUGGGUCUGUGAGUCUAAAGCUCAGGGAAGACCUCAGCGUCUGGGAUACAAAUCUGGAGAUCAUCAGCCUGUCAAUGAAAGCCAGGGGAAUGAUGGAAGAUACUAUGAGAAAAAGUGAAGAGAGGAAAGAGAAGAGGUCCAUGGAAGGAGACCUGGGAGAAUCCAACCUUCGAUUAGAUCAGGAAGAGGAGAAGAAUCCAGCAAAAAACUCUGAGAAGUCUCUGGGAAGGAAGUCUUCCUUCCUUUCCCUGUACCAGGAGAGGUGCUAUCCCAGAAAUCAGUAAAGAAAAAGUGUUUGAUGGGGAGAGCAGGAUCACCUUUGUCAACUGCUGUUGCGAGACUUGGAAAAAUAAGGACUGGGAAGAGAGCAAUAGAAACUUUGAAAGCCAUUGGUUAUCUUGACAAGAGUUGUUUUUGUGGGGGUGGUGAGAACUGGAGCCUGAUUGGAUGGGUUCAAGAGAGAAUGGGGAGUUCUAGCCAAGAAGGCUGAUGAGGAUGAUUCAAAUUAAAAAUGUUUUCUUUUUAUGAGUCCUCUCAUAUUUACUGAUACAACUGAUAUAUUGGGUCUCCAUUCUGCCACAUUACUUUAUAUUGAUCAUGUAUUAUAUCUGCUAUGUUUCUCCAUGCAACGUAUUUUUUUACUUUAAAAAUUGUAUUUAUAAAGGUUUGUAAUUUUAUUCCAGUGGUUAUUUUAUAUGUACACUUUUUAAAAUGCUCUUAAUUUUUUUUUUUUAAGACAGGGUCUUGCCCUUUGCCCAGGCUGGAGUAUAAUGGUGUGAUCCUGGCUCAUCAAAGCCUUGGCCUCCUGGGCUCAAUAAGUCCUCCCACCUCAGCCACCUGAGUAGCUAGGACUACAGGCAUGUGCCACCACACCAAGCUAUUUUUUUUGUAUUUUUUGUAGAAAUGGUGUCUCCCUGUGUUGCCCAGGCUGGUCUCAGUCAGGCGAUCCAGGGCAAAAGCAAUCCUCUCACCUCAGCCUCCCUUGGCUCUUACUCUUAUUUUCCUGUUUAAGCUUUUACUAUCUGGUUUAUAAAUACUGUAGUAUUCUUCAUCUCCCAUCCAUUGCCCAUACAGCAAUCUAGGGGCAUAUUCCGUUUUUCUCUUUCUAUUUCCUUUGUCCCAUUUUUGAGUUGCACUAUUUCCUUAUCAUCUCUUAUCAGCUGAAGCUCAUUCUCUAGUAUACCAAUCAGAAAACUUUUUAUUUUUUGCAAGGGGCCAGAUAGUAAAUAUGUUCAGUUUUGCAGGCAUGCAAUCUCUGCCACAGCUCUACCAUUGUAGAGUAUAAGCAGCCAUAGACAGUAUGUAAACAAAUGGGUAUGGCUGCCUUCCAAUAAAACUUUGUUUGCAAAAACAGGUGGUGGGCCAGAUUUGGCCUAUAGGCUAAAGCCGUAUCUUAGAGUAGCAGCAGAUAAGGAGACAGAAAAACUGUGCAGGAGGUGAGAGAAAAUUGGCAGGAGAGCUAGGGGGAUAUUGACAAAAGAGGAGCCCUUUAAAUCUUCCAGGGGUAGAAAAAAUGAAAUUCUUCGAUGUUACUCAAUAGUUUACCUGCUCGGAAGGAGGAAAGGUGUCUCUUCCAUCUCAGGGUUGGCUCAGCAUCCAUCCUGCUGGAUUCUGCAGAUCCUGCUGGCCAGAUGCCACAGUGUGGUCAGCUGAAAGUGAUUUGCUCAUCCUGAAAACAGCAGGUAUAGAAAGCACUCUUUCAGCGCCAUGGCAACCAGAUCAUGUUUUUCUAAAAAAGGAUCAGAUCAGUGGGUGCGUCCCUCCAGGCAUUAAUCCAUUAAUGUGCACUGAGCUCAUUUCAGAGCCAGGCCCUGGGCUGAGUGCUUGGAAUACAAAGAUGCAAAAGGCUAAGUCCUUGUUUUUAAGGAGCUCAUAGACUGGAGGAGGAGGCAGACAUGCACAGUAAACAGUGUAAUCACACGUCAUCAAAGGAUGGGACACACAAAGCGCUGGGGAGCAUCUCCUCCUUUUUGGGAGAAACUGACCUGGAGACCUAAGGUUGAGCUGAAUUUUGGAGAAUCAGUCAGAGUUGGUCAAGAGGACAAACUGGGAUGGGUCAAGGAAAAUGGAGAAGCUUGAGAGCUGUGGCAGCUCCGUGGAAUGGCAAGUAUGGCCAGAGGAUGGCAUCUCCAGGGUGCCAGAGAUGGCCAUGGAAAGGCACCGAGGCCAGGCCAUGCUGGGCCUCUGCUGCCUCUGCUGCCUCUGCUGUCACCAAGGUCAACCACAACCUAGUGCCCAAGCCAGUGGCAUUUUCCAGCCUACUUUUACUCAUCCCUUCUUUUAGAAAAUGCUCCCUUGACAGUCUGAUUUUCAUGGUAUCAUGAUCUGCUAUCUCCUGAUGUGUCCUCUGCACAUUCAGCUGCUCUUUCUCACUCUCUUAUUUGCGCUCUCACUUCCUUAAAUUUUAACCUUCUUGUGCUGCACUUUCUCCAGGUAUAUAAGAAACCUCUCUAUUUUUCACUUUCAUCUGUAUUGCUCUUUGCCUGUUGGCCUCAAUUUCUCCUACCACAAGAUGAGCCCCUGUACGUAUUUAGGAAUGUGGCCUCAAGAACCCCAGUGUGGCAAUCCCAGUGAAAAGCCUUUUCCCAGUACUCAUCUUUCCAUCCCGGGGAAGGCAUGGGAUUGCUGUUUGUUGGUUGUGUACCUACCCUGGGAUGCAGCGCUAUUAUCAGAGUGAUGGGCCAAUAUGAUAUAUGGUGAGGGAAAUGAGGUUCCAUGAUUGGCCCCAUCAGUCACAGGGAUGGAAAGGCAGUUUCCUAAGACAGAUGUAUCAGGCAGGAGAGAGGAGCUAUACAAUGUCAACAGGGAAAGUGUAAUAUAAAUAAUCAUGAACUAAAAAUAGGGGGUUAGCCACUAAGGGAUAAAAAGAAGUCUAAAGGUUACAGAAACAGGUGAACGGAUAAACAAAAUGAAAUGUUAUUCUGCCACAAAAUGGAAUGAAAUUCUGAUACAUGCUACCACAUGGAUAAACCUUGAAGACAUUAUGUGAAAUGAAAUAAGCCAGACUCAAAAGGGCAAAUAUUGUAUGGUGCCAUUUAUACAGUGUACCAUGAAUAGUCAAUUCAUAGAGACAGGAAGUAGAAUGGAGGUUUUCAGGAGCUGGAGGAAGGGAAGAACGGGAAGUUAUUGUUUAAUGGGUGAUACAGCUUGGCUCUGGGUCCCCACCCAAAUCUCAUCUCAAAUUGUAAUCCCAUGUCAAGGGAGGGACCUGGUGGGAGAUGACUGGAUCAUGGAGGUGAUUCUUGUGAUAGUGAGUGAGUUCUCAUGAGAUAUGAUGGUUUAAAAGUAUGUGACUCCCUUCUCUCUCUCUUUUUCUGUCUCUCCUACCACUUUGUGAAGAGAUCUGCCUUGCUUCCCCUUCACCUUCCACCAUGAGAGUGUUUCCCAAGGCCUCCCCAGGCAUGCAGAACUGUGACUCAAUCAAACCUCUUUUCUUCAUAUAUUACCCAGUCUUAGGUAGUAUUUUUAUAGCAGCGUGAGAACAGACUAUUACAAUGGGUAUAGAGUUUCACCUUGGAAUGAUAGAAAAGUUUUGGAAAUAGAUAGUGGUGAUGGCUGCAAAACAUUGUGAAUGUAUCUAAUGUCACUGAAUUGUACACUUAAAAAUGGUUAAAAUGAUAAAUGUUAUGUAUGUUUUACCACAAUAAAAAAAAUACAGGCCAGCCUGGCCAACAUGGUGAAACCCUGUCUCUACUAAAAAUACAAAAACGAGCUGGGUGUGGUGGCACAUGCCUGUGAUCCCAGCUACUCUGGAGGCUGAGGCAGGAAAAUCGCUUGAACCUGAGAGGUGGAGGUUGGAGUGAGCGGAGAUCACGCCACUGCACUCCAGCCUGGGCGAUAGAGUGAGAUUCCGUCUCAAAAACAAUAAACAAACAAACAAACAAAAAACAGGAAUUGUGGAUAUAGGGGCAGGCACUAGCUCUAGGGCUGAAGCAGAGAACCCAAGGAAGGAACCAACUUGGAAAAGGGUCUCCCCAGGAAUGAGACUCAGAUGCCCUUGGAGAUGGUGUGGCUAGAGCCCGCAGGAUGGCAGAGAAGUUUGUUGUAGUGCUUGAGGCCGGGCUGGCAUGCAAGAAACCCCGCACCGGUGGGGGCAGCGGGCUGGGGGCUGACAGCAUUCACUGAGAAGCUGCCCUCUGAGGUGCAGGCACUCACUAGGACUUUACCCAUGGUAUGUUACUGAAACUCAGGGGAGGCAACUGCUGGAGCGUUUAUGAGACACACUGCGCCACCAUCUGGGGCUUCAGCAGCGUUUGGUGAAAACCUGCCUGUGGGGUUGCUGUUAAAUUUGCUGGAGAGCUGACUGAGGUGCUAGCAGAACUCCUUAUGAAAUCACCAGGGAUGAGCAUUCCUGGGUGCCCCAUGCACCAGUCAAGAGCAGGAGCAAGAGAAAAGGAAGGGAGCUCUUCUUCCUGCAGUGUCUCUCCAGAGCCCUCCAUUGACAGCACUUAAUAUCAUGCUAGCAGGCAAAGAAAUGUUUACAGGAUUCAGCUCCAGUAUCACAAAGGAGGAUAACGAAGAGUGGAUUUGGAAUUCAGAGGCUCUAAAGUGAUAACUGUCACAGCCCACCCCUUUGGCUAUUCAGUUUCCAUAUGCACCCUCCUACACAUAUCUGAACUUCUAUAUGACAACGAGCAAAAUACAGCUAUCCUUCUUACCAGGGAAAAUAUUCCUACCCUUUCUCCCAAAUGAGAAGAUACUCAGUGCCAACAAAAAUUUUAUCUAUCUCUGGCUAUAUUCAUUACUCAAAUUUGAUCACAGUCCCUUUAAAUAUUCUGUUACCAAAAGACCAAAUUGUAAAGUUAACCUCCAACAACUUGUAUAUAAACUAAUAAAGGGAAGAAGGAGAGAGAGAUAAAAUGGAUGGCAUUUUCCCAUCAACCAUCUAUCAGUGGGAAAGAACUCUGGGGAAGUGCUCUUGAGGAAAUAUCUUUGGGAAGAAUCCCUUAUUGGCCCUACUUGAGUCAUGUGUGUUGGAAUCUGUGAAAGUCGGGAAUUUUGCUCAUCUUACAAGCUAGUAAGCCUGUUAUGGUUUCAUGGAUGCUGGCAGAUGACAUGAGACUGGAUCAGAGACAAAGGACUACACUACUCAUGGCAGAACAAGUUGCAUGAGGUUUGUGUUAGUUAGCAUUGGUUUUCCUUGUCCCCAAGUCCCACAGAGGUGAUGUGGAGGGGCCCAGUACUGUACAUGCAGUGUGUUUGUACUGCAGCUAAGGAACACUGAGCUUGGGAACAUACAAUUUAAUAGUAAGUGGUGAGCAAGUCUGCUCUUUGUCUGGGGCAGGGGGACAUUGCUUUGUCAAGGCUGUCUACUGCAAACACAACCCUGAGAAAUGUCUCAAGCAAGGAACAGUCAGGACCUUGCAUUCUUGUCAUCCCCAGCAAGAGCAUGCAGAGACAAUCAGAGCCUGUGGCAAAUUGCCUGUCACAAAAAUCCACCACAAGGCCUGACAGAUACUUGGCCAAAUUCACAUUUUCCCAUGAGUAUGCUAUCUCAUCAGCUGCUCUGAUUAGUCUGACCAACAGAGGGACCAAAUCUGUUUAAUUUGAUUCCUAUCACAUUUAAAAUUAAGGCUGCUAUUGACAGGACUUCAAGCAAUACAGCAAGGCAAGUCUGCCAUAUUGAUCUCACACAUGUCCCCAGGGUCCCGGGCUCAGCCAACUGUCUAAAAGUUCUGGGGGCAAAGGAGACCAGUCAUUCUUAUUUCAGAUAGCUAGGAUAAAAUCUAAUGUCAGUCUAGUAUUCAUUAUGACCCACUCAUGGGAGUUUAGAUUCACUGAUAUCAUUGCCAGUGACUACAGGAGGCAAUGUAGGGAGCAAAGACCCUCAUCCCUGACAGAAGGACAUUCAUGGCCCAUUCUCCCUUAACAAAGAGACAAUCCGAAGGGGAGCAGGUCGCUCUAGUUUGGAAUUUUUUGUUAAAUUUGAUUUGAAUCAUGAUUGCAUUGGUUUGGUUAGGUAAGGUGGUUAAAUUUUAUGUGUCAACUUGGCUGGGUCAUGGGACUAAGAUAUUUGGUCAAACAUUACUCUGGAUGUUUCUGUGAGGGUGUUUUUGGAUGAGAUUAACAUUUAAAUUAUUGGACUUUGAGUAAAGCAGAUGACUCUACCUAAUGUGGUUGACCCUCAGCCAAUCAAUUGGAGGCCUAAAUAGAACAAAAGACUGACCUCUUCCAGGCAAGAAGGAAUUCUGCCAGCACAUGAACUUUGCACUUGAACUGAAACAGCGGCUCUCCUGGGUCUCCAGCCUGCCAGCCCACCCUGCAGAUUUUGGACUUGCCAGCCUCCAUAAUCAUGGCAGCCCAUUCCUUAAAAUAAAUCUCACUCUCUCUCUCCCUCUAGAAUAUAUAUAUAUGUAUACACACACACACACACACACAUACACAAAAUAUUAUAUGUAUUUUAUAUGCACACACAAAAUAAUAGAUAGAUAGAUAGAUAUCAUAUUAGUUCUGUUUUUUUGGAGAACCCUGACUAGUCCUAGUUGUCUUUCUUUUCUUUUUCCACUUUUCUUCUGAGCUCAUGUUCCACCUCCUCAUAUCUUACCAUCAUUUUCCUGAGCUCACUUUAUCUUUUUCCUUCUUAAAGGCAACAUUUCAUUAAGUUUUUAAGUGCCUGGCAAUUGCUUGGUUACAACCGGCGUCUGCUCCAUGGCAGCCUCUUCCUGGUGAGUAUUCCACAUCUGCCAUUAGUUUUUCCUAUUCCUUUCCUACAUUUGCAGAGAUCCUGUAUGUCUUCCUUUUUGAUGACUCAUCUUUGAACAAGUGGAAUUUUUUUUUUUUUUUUGAAACGGAGUCUCACUCUGUCGCCAGGCUGGAGUGCAGUGGCGCAAUCUCGGCGCACUGCAACCUCUGCCUCCCGGGUUCCAAUGAUUCUCCUGCCUCAGUCUCCCAAGUAGCUGGGACUACAGGUGCCCGCCACCACGCCCAGCUAAUUUUUUGCAUUUUUAGUAGGGACAGGGUUUCACCAUGUUGGCCAGGAUGGUCUUGAUCUCUUGACCUCGUGAUCCACCUGCCUCGGCCUCCCAAAGUGCUGGGAUUACAGGCGUGAGCCACCGCGCCUGGCCAAACAAGUGGAAUUUUUCCUGGACCAGCUCUUUGCUGGUCAUGUGGGAGGAGUUGGGGCUGUGUUCCAAGUCAGCUGGAAUUUUUCUUAUAACCCAGGAUUUUAGAUGUGAGCUUGAUCAGCCUUUACUUCUCAGCUUAAGCAGGUCUGGGCAUGUUUGGCAACCUGGCCUGCAAGAUGAAAAUUUCCAUAAUUUGGUGUUCAUCUAUUUAUUCAGUUUUUGCCCAAAUGACGAAGGAGGAAGUUUACAUCUUGCUCCCUGGGUACAGGCAGAGACAGUGUGUGCACUUCCAUCCUACAAGGACCAGAUCUGAACAGUCUGGAGAGAGGAGCUGUGCUGGCAGCAGACAGAUCUCUGCUUCAGGGGCCAGGUGUCCAGGUGAGAUGCCACAGCACGGCAGAGAGAACAGAGGCUUCUCUGCAUGCCUGCCAGGGAAUUGGCACCAUGUCAACAGAAAUCUUAGGUUACAGGAACAGAAACCAGCCCUGACUGACGUAUGCAAGCCCGGAGCUUUCCUUUCUCCUUGCACUUCCCACAUGUUCCCCACAUAACCAGCAACCACAGAGCCACCCCCUGCCACCCAAUGACUCCCUCCUGAGCUAGAAACUUGUAAGACUCAGCUAGGAGUCUGAAUGGUUGGAUAUCUAAAGCAAAGAAUAAUCUAGUUUGUAACAUGGGAUCAAAGGAAGAACUGAAUAUCCACAUUCUGUGUAAAAGAGGCCACUUUGGAGAUUUCUAUGCUUCUCAGGGGCUCUACCUCAGGAUGGCUCAGCUGUAAUUAUCUUUGGAUUCCUAUACAGAUCCAAUUUCCCUGGAAAGAGAAAGUCUCAUGUUUGUUAAUAAUAUGAGGAAAGAAUUAAAAUAUAUCAGCUGCUAUGGGCUAAUGUCAUUUAUUUUGACUUUUCUUUUGUAGAAGAAAUGCUGAUGCAGUGUCAUGCUGGUGUGUGUCCUCCUUACAGAAUGCCUGAACAGUUCCAUUGACUCAAAGUGAAGAUCAAAAGAACCAAAUGACAGCAAUAGCUAAGUGUAAUCAUCAGUAACCCUGUGUUCUAUCCACGGGUAAAGAACAAUCAUCCUCUUCAUUAUGGGUUUCAAUUUAAAAUGUAAUACAUUUUUAGAAAUGCCUAUUUCCUUUUAUAAUCUCUUUAUAUAAUCUAGGUUAUUCUGGCUCUUAGGUCUUCAUUUAGCUACUGAAAAGAUUUUAUCUCAAAUGAAUGAUCUAACCACCCAUGACCACCUCCCACCUCUCUCCCCGUACACCCCCCAGCCUGAAUUCUGGGAACUCAGGUAAAAUGCUUUCUGGAAACCUGCCUGUAUUAGUCUGUUGUCAAGCUACUAGUAAAUGAAUACCUGAAACUGGGUAAUUUAUAAAGGAAAGAGGUUUCCUUUAUAGUUCCACAUGGCUUGGGAGGCCUCACAAUCAUGGUGGAAGGCGAAUGAGAAACAAAGUCACAUCUUGCAUGGCAGCAGGGAAGAGAGAGUUUGUGUAGGGGAUCACCCCUUUAAAAAACCAUCAGAUCUUGUGACACUCAUUCACUAUCACGAGAACAGCAUGGGAAAGACCCGCCCCCCCCCCCAAUUCAAUUACCUCCCAUGACACAUGGGAAUUAUAGGAGCUACAAUUUACAAUGAGAUUUGGGUGGGGGUACAGACAAACCAUAUCACCGCCUAAAACCAACUCAAUAGUCUAAGGAAUUUGACUGGGGAGAAUCUGGAGAGGAUUUAAUUAAUUUGGCAAAAGGAUUAGCAAUUGGAUCUAAGUGAGAAAAGAGAAUUCUUGGAGGAAAAAAAGAUGUUUAGUUACACUGAGAAGUUAAAACCUGAAGUAAUUGCCUUUGAGAUUUUUUUCAGGAAAUGAGUAUUGACUGCCUACUGUGCGUCAAAUUAUGUGUUUCAUGUCAAAGACUCCAAAGUAGAUAAGAUAUAGGCCCAGCCUUGGGGAGCUCAUUGAGUCACAGAGAAAGUUUGAAUGUUUCAGAGGAAUCAUCAAGAACAGGGGAUCAGCAAUCUAUUAUAUUUUAAUUACCUCUUUUCAUGAUUAUAAAAGCAAUGCAUGCCUGCUGAAGAGAAUUUGGAAAAACAAAGAAGAAAUUAAAAAUCAUCUCUGAUCCUGCCACCAGAAAUAACCACUGUUAGCAAUGGUAUCACUUCUGUAGGUCUACAUGGUUAUCAUAAUAAGCUCUAGCAUUGAUUACAUGCAUCUCAUGUACCAGAGAUUAUGCUAGACUCUCAUUUAAUCUGUACAUCAGCCCUAUGAAGUAGGGACCAUCAUUCUCCUCAUUUUUCAGAUGAGGAAACAGAGGCUUGGAGAGGUUACUCUGCCUAAAGUCUCAUAGCUAGUGAGUGGCAGAGAUUGGACUCACCCAAGCUUUGUCUUAUUCUCAAGCUCUCAACCAACCCAGUGGUGAGAAGAGCCAGCAGCAAAGCCUGUCAUCUUUGUCUUUUUUUUUUCUAACCUCAAAUCAGGGAGAAAAGCCUUUGUCAUUAGAAGGGCAAGGCAAUUCUGAAGACAGCCCAGUGUCCAUGUCUCCGAUUUGGCUUUCAGGGGCCUGUCUGAUACCUAUGGAGAGACAAGGGCUGAAUAAGCUGUACCCUCAAAACAAAACUGUCGUCUUUUUAGGGACUCUCUGAUAGUAAUGCAGAGGGAGAAAGGCUUGCUUUGUCUCACGGGGAAGAAGGUUCCCUACGGAAAUUGAAGGCAGUGCCCGUUAACAUAGCGCUGCCACCUGGUGGAAAUCAUGGUGUAGGACAUCAUGUCUAGCACAACUAGCGCUGAGAGACACUCCCUGGGAAGAGAAAUAUUUGGAGAGAAAUUUGCAAGAAGUUGGAAGUCUUGCAGUAGCAGGUAGGAACAAGAAUUAUAACUGCUACUGUGACCCCCUGAGGCUCCUCACAUCCUCUUAAGGCUUGGAGAAACUCAUAUUAUGUAUAUUUUCCUGUAAUUUUGAAAAAUGUUUUCCUUUAUGCUUUGUUGUAAUGAAAUUACCUCUGAUGGUCACAUACCUUAAAUAUUUAGUAUAUAUAUGAAUACUAAAUGUCCAUUUUCAGGAGUUAGUUUGCCUGCAUCUAAAAUCAGGAAUAUGUCACAGAGUAACUGAGCAAAAAGUGCUGUUAGGUUUGUGCAUUUCACCCUUUGCCUGGGAUGAGAGGAUGUCAAUCAUCUUGGUACUAAUGACAGGAAAAGUGCCCUCCUAUCCAUGUGUAUCCGCUACUUGACUCAAGUCUCCUUAUUUCCUUUUCUAGCAUAACUCAAAGGAUUGUGAUUGUUGUUUUACAUCUGUGUUAAUGAGAUAAAUAAGUUUAAAAUAAAAAGAUGUGUACCAGGCA
rnacentral:sRNA from 1 species